rnacentral:rRNA from 1 species
AGUUCGAUUAUGGCUCAGGAUGAACGCUGGCGGCAUGCCUAAUACAUGCAAGUCGAACGGAGUGAAGCCUUCGGGUUUCAUUCAGUGGCGAACGGGUGAGUAAUACGCAGGGAACCUGGCCAUGGCAGGGGGAUACACUCUGGAAACGGAGCAUAAGACCCCAUAGGCAGUAAGGCGGCAUCGCCUUACUGUUAAAGAAAGCUGAAAGGCUUUGGCGAUGGAUGGACCUGCGGUGCAUUAGCUUGUUGGUGAGGCAACGGCUUACCAAGGCGAUGAUGCAUAGCCGGCCUGAGAGGGCGGACGGCCACACUGGGACUGAGACACGGCCCAGACUCCUGCGGGAGGCAGCAGUAGGGAAUUUUCGUCAAUGGGCGCAAGCCUGAACGAGCAAUGCCGCGUGAGUGAGGAAGGUCUUCGGACUGUAAAGCUCUGUUGCCGGGGAAAAAGGGGAAAUGCAGGAAAUGGCAUUUCAUGGAUGGUACCCGGCCAGAAAGCCACGGCUAACUACGUGCCAGCAGCCGCGGUAAUACGUAGGUGGCGAGCGUUAUCCGGAAUGAUUGGGCGUAAAGGGUGCGCAGGCGGUCUGUUAAGUCUGAAGGCAAAGGGAUGAGCUCAACUCAUUUAUGAUUCAGAAACUGGCAGACUUGAGGACAGGAGAGGGCGGUGGAACUCCAUGUGUAGCGGUAAAAUGCGCAGAGAUAUGGAAGAACACCAGUGGCGAAGGCGGCCGCCUGGCCUGUGACUGACGCUGAGGCACGAAAGCGUGGGGAGCAAAUAGGAUUAGAUACCCUAGUAGUCCACGCCGUAAACGAUGGGGAGCAGGUGUUGGGAGUGAAAUCUCAGUGCCGAAGCCAACGCAGUGACUCCUCCGCCUGGGGAGUAUGCACGCAAGUGUGAAACUCAAAGGAAUUGACGGGGGCCCGCACAAGCGGUGGAGUAUGUGGUUUAAUUCGAAGCAACGCGAAGAACCUUACCAGGUUUUGACAUCGGAUGCGAAGGCGCAGAGAUGCGCUGGAGGCUAUCAUCCAGACAGGUGGUGCAUGGUUGUCGUCAGCUCGUGUCGUGAGAUGUUCAGUUAAGUCUGGCAACGAGCGCAACCCCCGUGGUAUGUUACUAACGCAUUUGGGCGAGGACUCAUAUCAGACUGCCGGUGACAAACCGGAGGAAGGCGGGGAUGACGUCAAAUCAUCAUGCCCCUUAUGACCUGGGCUACACACGUACUACAAUGGCGUCUACAGAGGGAAGCGACCCUGAGAAGGGAAGCGAAACCGGAAAAGGGCGUCCCAGUUCGGAUUGAAGUCUGCAACCCGACUUCAUGAAGAUGGAAUCGCUAGUAAUCGCGGAUCAGCAUGCCGCGGUGAAUACGUUCCCGGGCCUUGUACACACCGCCCGUCAAACCAUGGAAGCCGGCAACGCCCGAAGCCGGUGGCAUAACCUUUUAGGAGUGAGCCGUCGAAGGCGGGGCCGAUGACUGGGGUUAAGUCGUAACAAGGUACCC